AGAACGAACGCUGGCGGCAGGCCUAACACAUGCAAGUCGAACGGAUCCUUCGGGAUUAGUGGCAGACGGGUGAGUAACGCGUGGGAAGCUACCUUGUGGUAGGGAACAACAGUUGGAAACGACUGCUAAUACCCUAUGAGCCCUAUGGGGGAAAGAUUUAUCGCCAUGAGAUGUGCCCGCGUUAGAUUAGCUAGUUGGUAAGGUAAUGGCUUACCAAGGCGACGAUCUAUAGCUGGUCUGAGAGGAUGAUCAGCCACACUGGGACUGAGACACGGCCCAGACUCCUACGGGAGGCAGCAGUGGGGAAUAUUGGACAAUGGGGGCAACCCUGAUCCAGCCAUGCCGCGUGAGUGAUGACGGCCUUAGGGUUGUAAAGCUCUUUCAGCAGUGAAGAUAAUGACAUUAACUGCAGAAGAAGCCCCGGCUAACUUCGUGCCAGCAGCCGCGGUAAUACGAAGGGGGCUAGCGUUGUUCGGAAUCACUGGGCGUAAAGCGUACGUAGGCGGACUGAUCAGUCAGGGGUGAAAUCCCGGGGCUCAACCCCGGAACUGCCUUUGAUACUGUCAGUCUUGAGAUCGAGAGAGGUGAGUGGAACUCCGAGUGUAGAGGUGAAAUUCGUAGAUAUUCGGAAGAACACCAGUGGGCGAAGGCGGCUCACUGGCUCGAUACUGA
rnacentral:rRNA from 1 species